GUGAGUAAUACAUAUUUAACAUACCCCUAGGAGGGAAAUAGCCACUUGAAAAAGUGAUUAAUGUCCCAUAGGAGAUUUAUUCAAAAGAACUAAUCUUUAAAGGAGCUUGCUCCACCUAGGGAUUGGAAUAUGAUCUAUUAGCUUGUUGGCGGGGUAAAAGCCCACCAAGGCGAUGAUAGAUAGCUGGUCUAAGAGGAUGAACAGCCACAAUGGGAUUGAGAUACGGCCCAUAUUCCUACGGGAAGCAGCAGUAGGGAAUCUUCCACAAUGGGCGAAAGCCUGAUGGAGCAAUGCCAUGUGAACGACGAAGGCCCUAUGGGUCGUAAAGUUCUUUUAGGGGGGAAAACUAGGAUGGUAUCCCCUGAAUAAGUGACAGCAAACUAUGUGCCAGCAGCUGCGGUAAUACAUAGGUCGCGAGCGUUAUUCGGAUUUAUUGGGCGUAAAGCAAGCGCAGGCGGAUGUAUAAGUUCUGUGUGAAAAGCAGCUGCUCAACAGCUGUUGGCGCCGAAUACUAUACAUCUAGAAUACGGUAGGAAGUUUUGGAAUUGAAUAUGGAGCGGUGGAAUGUGUAGAUAUAUUCAAGAACACCAGAGGCGAAGGCGAAAACUUAGGCCGAUAUUGACGCUUAGGCUUGAAAGUGUGGGGAGCAAAUGGGAUUAGAUACCCCAGUAGUCCACACCGUAAACGAUGGGUAUUAAAUUUUGGGGUUAGUGCCUCAGAGUUGUAGCUUACGUGUUAAAUACCCC
rnacentral:rRNA from 1 species